AGUCGAACGGUAACAGGUUAAGCUGACGAGUGGCGAACGGGUGAGUAAUGUAUCGGAACGUGCCCAGUCGUGGGGGAUAACUGCUCGAAAGAGCAGCUAAUACCGCAUACGACCUGAGGGUGAAAGCGGGGGAUCGCAAGACCUCGCGCGAUUGGAGCGGCCGAUAUCAGAUUAGGUAGUUGGUGAGGUAAAGGCUCGCCAAGCCGACGAUCUGUAGCUGGUCUGAGAGGACGACCAGCCACACUGGGACUGAGACACGGCCCAGACUCCUACGGGAGGCAGCAGUGGGGAAUUUUGGACAAUGUGCGCAAGCCUGAUCCAGCCAUGCCGCGUGCGGGAAGAAGGCCUUCGGGUUGUAAACCGCUUUUGUCAGGGAAGAAAAGGUUCUGGCUAAUACCUGGGACUCAUGACGGUACCUGAAGAAUAAGCACCGGCUAACUACGUGCCAGCAGCCGCGGUAAUACGUAGGGUGCAAGCGUUAAUCGGAAUUACUGGGCGUAAAGCGUGCGCAGGCGGUUAUGCAAGACAGAGGUGAAAUCCCCGGGCUCAACCUGGGAACUGCCUUUGUGACUGCAUGGCUAGAGUACGGUAGAGGGGGAUGGAAUUCCGCGUGUA
rnacentral:rRNA from 1 species